rnacentral:rRNA from 1 species
AACGGGUGAGUAACGCGUGAACAACCUGCCUAUGACAGUGGGAUAGCCUCGGGAAACCGGGAUUAAUACCGCAUAAAAUCGUAGAAACACAUGUUUUAACGGUCAAAGAUUUAUCGGUCAUAGAUGGGCUCGCGUCUGAUUAGCUAGUUGGUGAGAUAACAGCCCACCAAGGCGACGAUCAGUAGCCGGUCUGAGAGGAUGAACGGCCACAUUGGAACUGAGACACGGUCCAA